rnacentral:rRNA from 1 species
ACGCUCGACACCUACGGGNGGCAGCAGUGGGGAAUAUUGCACAAUGGAGGAAACUCUGAUGCAGCGAUGCCGCGUGAGGGAAGAAGGUUUUCGGAUUGUAAACCUCUGUCUUUGGGGACGAUAAUGACGGUACCCAAGGAGGAAGCUCCGGCUAACUACGUGUCAGCAGCCGCGGUAAUCUGAGCGGGCUGGCAAGGC